rnacentral:SRP_RNA from 1 species
GCCAGGCGUGGUAGCGCAUGCCUGUAAUCCCUGCUACUCAGGAGGCUGAGGCAGGAGAAUUCGCUUGAACCCGGGAGGCGGAGGUUGCAGUGAGCUGAGAUUGUGCCGCUGUACUCCAGCCUGGGCGGCAGAGCGAAACUCCGUCUCAAAAAAAAAGAAAAGAAAAUGAGUCAUGUGGAAUGACAGAAACUGAAUUUUUUUUUUUUUUUUUGAGACGGAGUCUCGCUGUGCUCCCAGGCUGGAGUGCAGUGGCGUGAUCUCGGCUCACUGCAAGCUCCGCCUCCCAGGUUCACGCCAUUCUCCUGCCU